rnacentral:rRNA from 1 species
AUUGAACGCUGGCGGCAUGCCUUACACAUGCAAGUCGAGCGGCAGCACGGGUGCUUGCACCUGGUGGCGAGUGGCGAACGGGUGAGUAAUACAUCGGAACAUGUCCUGUAGUGGGGGAUAGCCCGGCGAAAGCCGGAUUAAUACCGCAUACGAUCUACGGAUGAAAGCGGGGGACCUUCGGGCCUCGCGCUAUAGGGUUGGCCGAUGGCUGAUUAGCUAGUUGGUGGGGUAAAGGCCUACCAAGGCGACGAUCAGUAGCUGGUCUGAGAGGACGACCAGCCACCCUGGGACUGAGACACGGCCCAGACUCCUACGGGAGGCAGCAGUGGGGAAUUUUGGACAAUGGGCGAAAGCCUGAUCCAGCAAUGCCGCGUGUGUGAAGAAGGCCUUCGGGUUGUAAAGCACUUUUGUCCGGAAAGAAAUACUUGGCCCUAAUACGGUCGGGGGAUGACGGUACCGGAAGAAUAAGCACCGGCUAACUACGUG